ensembl:misc_RNA Metazoa_SRP Metazoan signal recognition particle RNA
GCCAGGCACAGUGACGUGUACCUGUAGUCUCAGUUACUCAGGAGGCUGAGGUGGGAGGAUCAUUUGAGCCCAGGAGUUUGAGGCUGCAGUGGGUCAUGAUUGCACCACUGCACCCCAGCCUGGGCCACAGAGCAAGACCCCAUCUCAA